rnacentral:rRNA from 1 species
GAUCCUGGCUCAGGAUGAACGCUAGCUACAGGCUUAACACAUGCAAGUCGAGGGGAAACGACAUCGAAGGCUUGCUUUUGGUGGGCGUCGACCGGCGCACGGGUGAGUAACGCGUAUCCAACCUGCCCAUCACUUGGGAAUAACCUUGCGAAAGUAAGACUAAUACCCAAUGAUAUCCCACGAAGGCAUCCGAAUGGGAUUAAAGAUUUAUCGGUGAUGGAUGGGGGAUGCGUCUGAUUAGCUUG